rnacentral:rRNA from 1 species
UACGGAGGGAGCUAGCGUUGUUCGGAAUUACUGGGCGUAAAGCGCACGUAGGCGGCUAUUCAAGUCGGGGGUGAAAGCCCGGGGCUCAACCCCGGAACUGCCCUCGAAACUAGAUAGCUAGAAUCUUGGAGAGGCGAGUGGAAUUCCGAGUGUAGAGGUGAAAUUCGUAGAUAUUCGGAAGAACACCAGUGGCGAAGGCGACUCGCUGGACAGGUAUUGACGCUGAGGUGCGAAAGCGUGGGGAGCAAACAGG